rnacentral:rRNA from 1 species
UACGUAGGGUGCGAGCGUUGUCCGGAAUUAUUGGGCGUAAAGAGCUCGUAGGCGGCUUGUCGCGUCGGAUGUGAAAGCCUGGGGCUUAACUCCGGGUCUGCAUUCGAUACGGGCAGGCUAGAGUUCGGUAGGGGAGAUCGGAAUUCCUGGUGUAGCGGUGAAAUGCGCAGAUAUCAGGAGGAACACCGGUGGCGAAGGCGGAUCUCUGGGCCGAUACUGACGCUGAGGAGCGAAAGCGUGGGGAGCGAACAGG